GCAUUGCUGAGGAGUCACACAAUAUGACGAAAUGGCCGUCCAGUGC
rfam:Schistosoma curassoni strain Dakar, Senegal genome assembly, scaffold: SCTD_contig0000397